rnacentral:rRNA from 1 species
GACGAACGCUGGCGGCGUGCUUAACACAUGCAAGUCGAACGGAAAGGCCCUGCUUUUGUGGGGUGCUCGAGUGGCGAACGGGUGAGUAACACGUGAGUAACCUGCCCUUGACUUUGGGAUAACUUCAGGAAACUGGGGCUACUACCGGAUAGGAGCUCCUGCUGCAUGGUGGGGGGUGGAACGUUUCGGCGGUUGGGGAUGGACUCGCGGCUUAUCAGCUUGUUGGUGGGGUAGUGGCUUACCAAGGCUUUGACGGGUAGCCGGCCUGAGAGGGUGACCGGCCACAUUGGGACUGCGAUACGGCCCAGACUCCUACGGGAGGCAGCAGUGGGGAAUAUUGCACAAUGGGCGGAAGCCUGAUGCAGCAACGCCGCGUGCGGGAUGACGGCCUUCGGGUUGUAAACCGCUUUCGCCUGUGACGAAGCGUGAGUGACGGUAAUGGGUAAAGAAGCACCGGCUAACUACGUG